UCGGAAUAAGGCUUUUGGCUAAAACUGUUUGGCAAAUUCAUUCUAAGCGCCUUAAAAUCAACUCAUGUUCUUGCUUUUCAAUGAGAUUGGCAUAACAUGCACCAGAAAUUAUCAACACAACACAAUAACCCAUUAAAUUCGGUAGAUGUUCCACCACAUCCUUUCUCUUCUGUUAGUUAGGCCAUUUAUAAAUGAAGCCAUAGGUACAGGGCAACUCACAGAUUCUUCAUCAUCAGAGAAAUGGAGGGCGCAUUGGAUUUAAUGAGAAGAAUGCCGCCAAAGCACAUAGAAACCGCUCUCUCUGCUCUUCUUACCCUCUUACCUCACCACUCCUCCUAUCUCCUCUGUCAAGUCGAUCAGCCUCUUCAGGUUUCUUUUCUGCCUCUCUUUCUUUUGAUGCCGCUUAAAUUCUUAACUAUAAUAAUCCUCAAUGUUAUCACUUCAAAUUUGACAUUACAAUCCCAUGAGAGAAUGAUUAUUAUUUUGCAUUAUUAUUAUUCUUAUUUAUGCUGACGACAGAUUUUACAUGAUGUGGAUUCUGGGAAAGCGUUUAUUUUAUGUGAAUACAACAGAGAUGCUGAUUCUUAUAAGUAUAAUUCUCUUUCAUGUAUGCUUCUGACUUUGUUGUGGGUAAAGCUUUUUAUACUGUGGAUUGAAAUGGUGAUUAUGUUCAUCAUCUGUUAGGAAUUUAUCAGUGGAUUAGUGGGUUCACUGAUUAUGACUAUGGGAAUGCAUCUUUGGCUCAUUUAAAUGAGGCAGUCCCGAGCACAUUUCUUUGCUGAUCACUGAAUUAAGGUUCUAUGCUAAUACUGUGAUGAAAAAAAAAAUAUAUGUAUAUAUAUAAACAUUUUAUGCAACCUUGGGUGUCAAAUUUUUUGUUCCAAUUGAUGUGCCAUUUUAAACAGUAUUUCCAUCUUACUUCAAUUUAUGAUUUACAUGUUAUUGUCACGUAAGUUAACAUAUCACUUGGGAUGAGAAAUUUGGGAUACAAGUUGAGAUGUAUACCAUUCUUAUAUACAAAUAUUUAUUCCUGUAACCAGACUUCGCAGUAACAUGUCUGAUGGGCUAACUAAGGUAUUUCAAAGCAUUUUUUGUUUCUUGGCUGUGAUGAUAAAACAUGUCAACUACUCAGCAUAAUGUUACUUCAUGUAUUUUCUCACUCUCUUUCUCUCUCAUCUUGACACAUAUAGAAGAAAUAAAGUGAGUGAGAAGUUGAUAAUAUUUUUCUCCUUUGUUUCUUGUGUACAUGUCAAGAAUAGAAUGAGUGAGAAAGAGAUGAAGAAGAGAGUGUUAUUAGCAUUUCUCUUACUCAUUCUACAGUAUGGUCACAUUUUUGGUCACUAAAUUGACUCUUGUUUUUCUAAUCAUUUAUGUCUCUAUUGAAAAUCAUUUUUGGAGGAGGGAGCAUGGGAUGCCAUACAUGUAAUAGAGGUGGGCCAGAGGAGGAAGGAACAAUCCAUUAUUGUUUAACCAGUACCAUCAUGCUCUCUUUAACUACAGAUGAUGAAUCAUUAGGCACAUUCAGUUUGUCUGGAUCAAUUAGACGACGGGUAACCAAUCAUUAGAGUUGUUGCAAGUUAAGUAAUCUUCACUAAUUAAAACAUUUCUUUAAGAGAUAACUGAGAACUAAUUUUUUGGUAUACUGGUUGAUGGAGGUGAUAAAUUCUGUAUAUAUGCUAGCUGGCAUCAAUACUUGAAUUGUUUUCUGGUAGUUUUCCAUAAUUGUUGUCUGGUUCUAUCAUAGGCAAGGAAAUGUGUGUUGACAAACAAGUUUGCUGCACCUAGAGCAAGUAACUUAUGACUAAUAUAUAUAUAUGACUGAUGAUAUUUAUGGCAUAUAUAUAUACACGUUGACAUCGACUGAUUGUCCAGAAACUCUUGCCCCGGUCCCAUACUUUGUUUAUGCCCGCUUUCAAGAGUGGGCUGUUUCUAUUGCUUUGUUUCGAGACUUUUUUUCAAAGUUCAGAAUCAUGGUUUGCAAGGUUGCUUUAGCUUUGCUGUUGCAAAAUUCCAGUUUAAUUGUAGUUUUAUAUACAACUAAGUAAGACCUUUAAAUUGUUGAUGAUCCCAUGGAUGAGAUUGUUACUGAGUCAGAAAGGGCUUUUCUAUAGAAGCAUUAAUAUAUUCUGAAUUGUCCUCUGAAUACCGAUAACCGUUGUCAUAAUUUUUCAAAAAUGUUUAGAAAUUCCUAAUAUUUCCGUUUUUCUUUCUGAAAACCAAACUGAACCUGAGCAUGGUUGAAUGCUGAAUUGUGGUUUAAAAUAAUUGAGUUAAAUUAUGAGGAAAGUUCACCAUAAGAGCCUCCAAGGGAUAGCUUAAGUGAUAAAAGAGAUAAGAUCAUAAGAGGACAUGGAUUCAAAUCUCUUCCAAUAAUUUUUUAAGUUCAAUCUUUUAACUUAUUUGUUUCAGUGAUUAUGAGAUUAUUCAUUAGAUCUGAUGUUUGAUUUACUCAGUGUGGUUGGUUUCGUCUUGAAAGGGCAGUCCAACUCAAGUGAGUUUCUCAUUAACCAAAAAAAAAAGAGGAAAAGUCCACCACAAGACUGCAGUUUAAUAUGAAUAUGAGUUUCCCAAUCGCUGAGGGUCAUCUUUGUAACAUGGGAAAGAUGAUGGAAGAAAUGGAGGGUAAGCUGAGGAACUCACUGGAUCAGGUCUAUUUUGGGAAGACAAAGGAGAUGGUAUGUACCCUACGGCCGCCGUCUGAAGUGGUGAUGAAACUUCCAAACAGUUGGUUUAGCUACAUUUGGUGCAUGAAAAAGAAUUUUCUUAAAUCUGUUUUUGUCUCAUUUUUGGAUAUGUUGGAGGUUUCUAAUUCCAGAGACUCUCUCAUUACAGAGAUAGAUCCAAUUCCCUGUUACACGUUUUGAGUUUACUCUUGUCAUCAACUAAAGUCGUGUGAAGAAUAUGUUAAGAAUCGAUUUCUUGUAUCAGCUUAUUUUACACCUUCAAGAUCAUCAAAAUGAUUUUCGUUCUGUGGA